CACUCUAAGCGGUGGAUCACUCGGCUCAUGGGUCGAUGAAGAACGCAGCAAACUGUGCGUCAUCGUGUGAACUGCAGGACACAUGAACAUCGACAUUUUGAACGCAUAUCGCAAUCCAUGCUGUUUUGUACUUUAAUUAAUUUUAUAGUGCUGCUUGACUACAUAUGGUUGAGGGUUG
rnacentral:rRNA from 1 species